AAUGGACAUCACUAACAUCCAAGGCUAUCUCAAAUCCUCAACAGAUGCACCACAUUUUCAAUUCGAGCUGGUCCAAUGCAGCCCAACAUACUUCAUCUUCUUUCUUGAUUUAAUUCCAAGGAAAGACCUCGUCCUCCACCCAGAUUACCUCAAAACUUUUUAUGAAGAUUCUCGACUCGAAGCACUUAGGAAACAACUUGAAACACAAGUCCUUGAAGCCAAACCCUACUUCUCAUCUUCCCUCUACUUUCGAAAUGUUGUUUCUCCCACGGGGAUUUUGGUUAGCAUAACAUGUGAGGACGGUGGGACGACGGAGCGUGCUGAAGAAAUUAUUCGCGACAAUAUUGAACCCAUAGCUAAUGAGGUUCUUGAACUAUGGAUGGAUAGUUGUGUUUGCAAAGGAGGAACGGCUACUAUUGAGGAAGAUGAGAGGGAUCAACUGGAGAAAAGGGAUCGAAUGAUAAAGAGUAGAGCAAUUGAGAUGGAUCUGAGCUCAAGCAUGCCUAUUCAAUUUGGACAAGAUGUGGCAGACAGAAUCCUGGGAGUUAUAAGAAGUGUUUUUAGGAUAUAAUCAUGUUUUCUUUAAUCCUUCUUAGUGAUCCAUGGAAGUGAAAAUUGGUGUAUGUUCAAAUCAAUCAAGAAGUUUAAAAGAAUUCAGUAGUUUUUAUACAAUAAUUGACAGUUAAUAUUGUAUUGAAAUUGUGAUUUAAAUUUCUGUAAAUAAAGUUAUUGCAUUAAAACAAAAAGGUAGGUUUCUUUAUUUUUUUUAUGGGACGUGUUUGGUUAUUUAAAAUCAAACGAAUAUAUAAAAGAAUAACUGAUGUAAAAUAUUUACAAGUGAAUCUAUCUUUUGCUUUUAUUAGUAAAAUUAAGUUUCUACUUUAGUAUUUAAUUAGUGUUAAAAAAUAUUUAUUUAUUUAUCAGUUUGUAUAUAUUUUUAAUUUAUUUUAUUAAGUGUACACACUAUCUUUGCAUUUCUCAAUUAAAAACAAUAAUUCAUGUUACCAUAAAGUGCAUCCAUAAUGUUGAUACCACAUGUAGUAUAGUGCAUGUGAAAUAACUAAUAAAAAUAAAAUCCAUUAUGAUAAUUGAUUAUGAUUUAUGUAUCUAUGAGAUGGCAUGCCCGUGCGUUGCCACGAGUUUAUAAAAUAAAUAUACUUGAUAGUAUUAUAAUUGUGAACCAACGCUAGAUAAGUAAUAAAAGCUAAAGGUAUGAUGGAGCUAAUAUUUCAUGACGGAAAAAAAGUUGUGUUGAUGAUAAAAAACUUAUAAACUGAACAAAAUGAUUUGUAGUAAUCCGCAAUGUUUUAUAAGGAAAGAUAUAGUGCUUUCACACAUGAUUUAGUUUUUCUAUUAAUAAAAAGCAAAAAAAUUACAAAAUUAAAUUCUCUACCAACUUAAUAUUAAAAAAAAAACCAACAAAGAUAAUUUUGAGGAAAAAAACCCAUGAGAAAAAACGUUGUAGCAAUUGACAAUGUUUUGUGAGGAAAACUACAGUAUUUUUUCCAAUAAAAAUGAAAAAGACAAUUUUAGAAAAAAUCAUAAAAAAAACCAUUUAGAGAAAUAUUGUAGUAAUUCACAGUGUUUUGUGAGAAAAGUUACAAAGUUUCCCAUAUGAUAUAGCUUAUUGUAAUUAUAAUUCUUAACCAACUCAAUAUUAAAAAAAAAUCGACAAAGAUAAUUUUGAAAAAAAUCAUAAAAAAAUCAUAUGGGAAAACAUACAACAAUUCAUAGUGUUUUUUUUUUUACAAAGCUACAAUGUUGGAAAAAAAAAACUUUCCCCACAUGAUUAAGUUUUAUUACAAAGUUAAAAUUUAACUAGCUCAAUAUUAAAAAAAUAAAAUCGACAAAGAUAAUUUUAAAAAAAUAUUACAAAAAAAAAACACAAAAGAAACUGGAAAAAAAUUGUGUGGAAAAAAACACUAUGGCAAUUCACAGUAAUUUGCGAGGAAAGUUACAGUGUUUUUCUCACAUAUUGUAACUGUAAUUUUUACCCAGCUCAAUAUUAAAAAAUUAAGAGAAAAUCAUAAAAAAAAAAAAAAAAACCAUGCGAGAAACACUGUAGCAAUCAACAAUGUUUUCAAGAAAAAAAUUACAAAACUAAAUUCUCAAUAGCUCAAUAUUAAAAAAAAAUCAACAAAUAUAAUUUUAAAAAAUAAAAAAAUAAAAUAGAAAAACCUUGUGGGAAAAAUACCGUAGUAAUCACAUAUUUUAAAGGAAAAAAAAUUAUAAAGUGAAAUUUUUAACCAGCUCAAUAUUAAAAAGUAAAAUCGAUAAAGAUAAUUUAAAAAAUAAAUAAAUAAGGGGGGAAAGUUGAAAAAAAAGGAAAGUAAUUUUAGAAAAAAAAAAAAAAAAAAGGGAAAAGUUGGGAAAAAAAAAGAGAAAAAAAAAAAAUGCAAUGUGAAUUAUUAUUUAAUUCACAGUGUAUUAGAUAUAGGUGAAUAGUAAAUUUCCCACACCCUUUAGCUUAUUACUCAAUAUAUAUAUAUAUAUAUAUAUAUAUUGUUCAUAAUUAUUUGAAUUUACUUACUAAAUAACAUAUGGUGAGAAGUUAUUUGGUGGUGGUGAUUUAUUUCUCUCACUUAUAUGUGUGUGUGUGACAAUUAGCAAAUUAAUAUAUUAAUUUUAUCCUUAUCAAUAUUAUAGCAUUGAAGACCAGUGUGUUAGUGAAUAAAAUUAAGGAAGCAUAAUAUAAUAUUUUUUAGAGAGAAAAAUGUAUUUUAUGAUUUUAAAAUUAUUCACAAAAAAUCAACACAAUGAAUUUAUUAAAUAUAUUGUUUAUCGUAUUUAAAAAUAGAUAAUUUUAAUGACAUUGUAAUAUAAACUAAAAGAUUUGGGUUUUUAAUCGUUAAUUUAUUUUGCACUCUCUUACAUUUUGUACAUGAUAUUGUUCACAUCCAAUUUUUCCUCUCUAAGUCCUUGAAAUUUUUAUUUUUUAUACUUCAAUCAUUAAACUUAAUUUGUUUUUAAUUGCAUAGCUCUCAUGCAAUGAUUUUAUAUUUUGUGAUUUAUUUUGAUUAGUAUGCAUUGCAUACCUAAUAUGGCAUUUGAUAUUCCUAGGUUAAAUUAAAGACAUAUUUAUGAAAUUGAAUUUAAGGUUUUCUUAAAAUAAAAGUUGAAAGAAAAGGAUUAAAAUUAACAUUUCAAGAAUAGAACCUUUUCCUAUUUUUAAAAGACAUGAAAAACUUUAAUUUGAUCAUAUAGUUUGCAUAUUUGAUCCUAUUUUUUUUUAACAUUUAUAUUUUAGUCAUUAAACCUUAUUUGUUUUGGAUUUCAGUCCUUAACUAUUAUUAAAAAAGAGAAAUUCAUUGGAAAAGACAAAGGAGAGAGAGAACUUUUUGGUGGCUAAAUUCUAGCCACUAAUAACUAGAGUCUUGGUGUCUACAGAUUUAUUUUUAAAAAACAAUUCAAUGAAUGUUGUUUCUACCUUUAACCAUGUUCAAAAAAAGAAAAUAGAAUAAUAAUAAAAAAAACAUUGUAGAGAUUUCCUUGUCAUGACAAGUUGGGAACUAAAGCAGUUAACCAUAAUUUUAGUGAUUCAAAUUUGUUAAUCCAAAAUCUAAACUAAUGGCUGUGAGCUUCUCUCCAAUUUUACAGUUACCACACUCGUUACCAUCUCCUCCUCCCCUCAAAUCCUCAAGAACAAAAAUAUCAGCCACUGCAUCACUCUCCUCCUCCUUCUCCUCAUCUUCAUCCGCGUCCCAAAUGGAUCUCCACAACCAGGGACGUCAGAAAUUCAUAGAAUUCCCAUUUGUCUCUGCACCACACAGGGAUCUCAUGGUUAAUCUCUUAUCAACGGUGGAGGAUCGACUUGGCUCACACCUCCUCCCUUGUACACUUCCCCUUGACGUACAACACUGCCAGAACGAAAGUGGGAGCGCCCAAGCUUCACUUCAUAUCAGAUCAGGUCUUCAGUCUUCCCAGGUAAUUUCCUCCAUCUCACUUCUUGGAGCACAGUUUGAAACUUUGAAUUGGUUCGUUGUUUUAUUUGUUAUUUGCUCAUGCGCCACCGAUAAUUCUAAAGUUCAAAGCCAGUGCUUGUUGCUAUGACUAGUAGUCUUACUGAUUAGUAGUUAUCAACGCUAAUUAUUUAGAAGGUAGAUUGUCUUGGUAGCUGCAAUCAGACUUAAUUAAUUAAUUAAUCCAUUUAGAUAUGCUUAAUCUGUGUUUGCUUUGUAGAUUAGUCUCCAUCUUACAUUUUGAUGGACCCUAUAUAUUGUGCUUGGCUGAUUCUUGAAAACUAGCAGUUUUGGCAUGCAUCCCACAAGAAUUUUUUUUUAGAAUUGGGCUAUUUCCCUCCUAAUUAGGGACAGUUUUGCACUCAGUUGGAUCACACAAUAAUAUGUAUGUCAAUGCUUUGUAUAGCUGGUACAGUGCUUAUCAGAUUUUGGUUCAGUUUGCUGUACUAGGUCUUGGAAUCGCAUGAAAAACUUGGUUUGAUUCCGUAACUGAGUAAUGCAUGAGGAACCUGGAAUAACCCUAAACUAAUUUUUGGGAGAGGGAUGGCUUCUUUAUCGAAUGCUAAUUUCAAAAUUACUGAGACAUAAUUUAUAUGUAGCAGCCAAGUACUGAACCUUCUUACUUAGUUAUGAGGAUUGAAGUCUUAUGUCGAAGUUGAAUUUGCAGCCUUUUCAUUAUAGUCUUUCUUUGGUUAUGGCAUCAUGCCCCAUGGAAAAUCCUAUAUUGUUAAUGGCUUCACAUGAAACAGCCUGCAUUUUCACUGUUGUUAUCAAUCUGAUGGUAGUUAUUUUUGUUUCUCAACUUCUCAAAAAUGUAUUAAAAUUUAUAGAAAAAAAUCUAAUUGAAAGCUGGACAUUUUUCAGGUCGAUUUCAUAUUGGGAAGUUGGCUGCACUGUAAACUACCUACCGGCGGAGCAUUGAACAUAACUAGCCUGUCCGCCUAUCUGAACCCUUCAACAGAUGCACCAAAUUUCAUGAUUGAGCUAAUCCAGAGUAGUCCAACAUCACUGGUCUUCAUUCUUGACUUGCCUCCACGGAAGGACCCUGUCCUUUCUCCAGACUAUCUUCAAACUUUCUACGAGAACACCCAGUUAGACACUCAUAGGCAGAUGCUUGCGAAACUCCCCGAGGUUCAACCCUACAUCUCUUCAUCCCUUUAUCUCCGUUCUGUCCUCUCACCUACAGUCGUUAUGAUUCAAAUAGGAUCUGAAGCGGGUGGACCAGAACGAAUGGAGGAGAUUGUAAAAAAUCACAUAGAUCCUACUGCCCAGGAAGUUUUAGGGAUUUGGUUGGAUCAUUGCGCCUGUGGAGAAAGAUUGGUGGGAGAGGAAGAGAAGGCUUAUAUGAUGAAGCGAGAUGAGCUAAUAAAGAAAAAAACUAUUGAGAUUGAUCUAGGCACAAACUUUCCAAGAUUGUUUGGUCCAGAAGUCACCGAUAGAGUAUUGGGAGCCAUACAAAAGGUUUAUAACAUCUGACUUCUGAGGCUGAUCCCGCUUGAGAAUCAAGAUUGAAUAUUAUCGUUAUGCUAUGGAUCUACAGAAGAAAAAUAAAAAGGAAUGGUGUGCAUUAGUAAUUUAGUAUAGUUUUACCUCCAUUUCACAUGCAGAAACUUAGAUGCAACCUGCAAAAAACAUAUUUUAAUUGCAGUGUACAUUUGGUAGAGCAGAAUGUAACGCAAUAGGAAGAAAAUAAUGAUUUUUUCUUCUUUUCUCUUCCAUUUUCUCACAUUUCAUCAAAAAGCACUCAAAAUCUCACAUGAUUUGAUCGGUCGUGGUUCAACCUUACCCUUCAAUGUUCAAGAAAAAUAAGAUGAAUGAAAUAUUCAUUAGUGCCAGAGUUGUAGGUUGAUUUCAAGUGGCUGAAAAUUGCUUAUCGAGUCGAUAGAUCGCUACAAAAAGGUAAUAGAGUAAAAGACAUUGAAAACUAAACUUAAAUGCUUUUGAAGGGCCAGAGGUAAUGAAAAUGUUCAAAACAAUUUAAAGGCCCAAUUUGUCAUUUCCGUUUGAAAAAGAAAAGGACAUUGGUGAGUUCUUCAAGCUUGAAGAAAUGUCAAGCAACUCCAUAAAAUCAUUGCAGUCAGUGGACUGAGUUAAUCAGCCCAUUAUAGUCAAUGUUCAAGUUUGAAAUUCGCAAAAUAGUUGAAAGUGACUCAUCUUCUGUGGCUGUUGUUGAUGGAAGAAUAAUAUUUUAUGUGUAUCUUAUUCCAACGUAGACUUUACGUUGCUUGAAGGGCAGAGUACGAGAGAAACAAUGGCCCUCCCGCUUUGCCCAUAUCAACAUGUUUAUUUAAAUUCAUUCUCAGCUCUACCAUUGACGAAAAUAUCUACCAGAAAUAUCAGAAACUCAAUACUUAUCGACAACACCAUUUGAGAUGGAACAGCCGAUGAGAUGGCAGAGGUUAAUGGAGUUUCCUCAUCUCUUGGCUCCUCACAAAGAUUUAAUGGUGGGUCUAAUCUCAGCCGUGGAUAAACGCCUUCAUGGUCAUCUCCUUCCUUCUUCAGCCUCAGUCCCUCCUGAUGCUGAAUACUAUCAGAACCAGAGUGGUGCUUCUCAAGGUUCUCUUUGCAUCAGCCUCAGUUCCUCCUGAUGCUGAAUACAAUCUUUGCUUCUCAAGUUUGAAAUUCGCAAAAUAGUUGAAAGAAUAAUAUUCAAGGAAGGAGAUGACUCAUCUUUUGUGGAUGUUGUUGAUGGAAGAAUAAUAUUUGUCUUCGACGAGCUGAGAAAUCCUGUGUCAUUUGAUUACACCUUUUUUUGGUUGAAUUUGAAAAACAAAAUGCUAAUAAUUGAGUUUUCACACGACUCUAGCUAAGACGUCUCUUUCAAUUUUCAUAUUCUAUUUAACGCAUCUUACAAUUUCUUUUUGAUUUUUAUUAAAAUUUUACGAAUAUUCUUAGUACAAAUGGUUUUUAUAUUAUUUUCUUAAAUUUAGAGAAAUUACUGUUCAUAUUAGUUAUGAUGUAUUUUAUGUGGAUCUUAUUCCAUUGUCGACUUUACGUUGCUUGAAGGACAGAUUGCGAGAGAAACAAUGACCCUCCUGCUAUGCCCACAUACACAUGUUUAUCUAAAUUCAUUUUCAGCUUUACCAUUGAAGAAAAUAUCCACCAGAAAGAUCAGAAACUCAAUACGUGCUUUAUCGACCACACCAUCUGAGAUGGAACAGCCGAUGAGAGGGCAGAGGUUAAUGGAGUUUCCUCAUCUCUUGGCUCCUCACAAAGAUUUAAUGGUGGGUCUAAUCUCAGCCGUGGAUAAACGCCUUCAUGGUCAUCUCCUUCCUUCUUCAGCCUCAGUCCCUCCUGAUGCUGAAUACUAUCAGAACUGUUAGCACAACACAAUCUGACAAGAAGCUUUGUGAGAGUUCAGUGGAGAGAUAAGGGUGUCUAUGCUAGUGGAGUAAUAAGGCAGAAUUCUCUCACAAAGCUCCCUACGAUGCUGCCCACAUUGUUCUACAAAACUUCCGAGUUUAAUGGAGAAAAGUCAGGAGAUAAAGAUGUCUUCAAGGGUAACAAAUUCAAGUCAGAAUGGUAGUCUAACAAGAUAAGGAGACUGUUGUGAUUCAUCCGAAAGUAAAAGGGACUCCGUGAUUCCAAGUCAGAAUUGACAAUGCAUGGAAGCCGCCUCAUGUCCUUGUUCAUGCUUAUCAAGAUAAACACUCAAGAUAAUCCUUAGUUGGCUAGCUCUUUGAAUCCUUGUAUAUGUCAUCUUCAGUAAACUUUAAAUAAUCUGUUAAUGGCAGUGUAAUGUAUCAAUCAAGAUUGUAUGUUCACGUUUCAGUAAACAAACCAUUAGAACAAAUUGUUCUACUCACGUCUUCAGAUUUUCUUUAUGGUAUCAGAGCUUGUGUGAGCAUACAAGUAAAAAAUAAUGUCUUCACUGUCUCUAAAUGUUGGAAAUUUCAUUACUCUCAAACUCAGCCCAAAUAAUUAUCCCCUAUGGCGAGAGCAAGCGUUGGCUCUUGCAGAAAGCCAAGACUUAGUUGGCCAUCUCACCAAUGAAGACCCUGCACCCAUCCAAUACAUCACACUAGAUGGCAGUAACAUCACACUCGGAGAAAAACUUGAACCCAAACUAACAGAAGCCUUUAUUGCUUGGAGAAAAGCAGACCGCCUUCUGCGAGGGUGGAUCAUUGGAACACUUUCUGAGGAAACAUUAAGUCUUGUUGUAGGACUUGACACAGCCUAUGCUGUGUGGGAAGCAUUCAAAAACGCAUAUGCACAAGAUUCACAAGAACGUGAAUUCACAUUGCGUCAACAGGUAACAUAUUUUCGUAAAGAGGAUGACAAAACCAUAGGUGAGCAUAUUCAAAAAUUCAAAGGAUUGUGUGAUAGCCUUGCUGCCAUUGGAAAACUUGUCCCUGAUAAAGAAAAAGUCUUCUGUCUUCUCACGAGUCUUGGACCUCAAUACGAAAAUUUUACAACUAUCAUGCUAAAGCCUCCAAGACCAUCAUAUACAGAGUUGGUCUCACAACUCCAAAAUCUUGAUCAAAGACAUAGCUGGUUUUCCAGUCAGUCAGAUGCAGCAGCGUCACCAUUCAUCCCUCAGUUAGCAUUCUAUGGACAACAACAACAACAACCCCACCUCCCUUACAGGUAUCGUAAUAACUCCCAAAAAUUUUCAUCUAAUGGAAGAGGCUUUCAGGCACAACAAACCAGAGAUGAAGGUCAAAACCGGCAUGCUGAUGCUCCACAACAACGACAUCCUCCUCCAUUAGGAGAGCGUCGUAUGACUCUAGUGGAAAGAAAUCUCUACCGAAAUGAAAAAUGUCAGUAUUGUGGCACCAUAGGACAUGUUGCCAAAAUAUGUUGGUGGGUACCCAAGAAGACUACAAAACAUGAUGAUAUCCCGCAAGCUCUUGCUGCACUCACUCUUGAUAACACAGUAGCAGAAACUGAAUGGACAUCAGAUACAGGAGCAUCAAACCACAUGACAGGCCAGCCAGGUAUGUUGUCUAAUAUUCAUGAAUAUUAUGGUACAGAUUGUGUUAUUAUAGGCAACGGAUCUUCCCUACCAAUUCUUGGUAUUGGUGAUACUCUUGUUAAACAAAAGAAUAUUGCUUUACCUCUCAAGAAUGUUCUGUUUGUCCCUGAAUUGAAAAAGAAUCUACUCUCAGUAAGUCAACUAACUACUCAAUUUCCAGUUAAUUGUGAAUUUUCUGAUGUUGAUUUCUGUGUUAAGGAACGAGCAACUGGACAACCAGUGAUCACAGGACGACGCAAGGGUGAUCUUUAUGUUCUUCAUAACUCACCAGAACUUUAUUUUUCUCAUCGUUUUAAAUCCGGAUCAGCAGAUAUUUGGCAUCAACGUUUAGGACACCCUCAAGUUUCAGCUUUGCAAUUAUUAAAAAAUAAAGGAUUGAUUGAUGUCAUAGGAGCAAUAAAAACUGAACAUCUAUGUGAUAGCUGUCAGUUAGGAAAACUCAGUAGACUUCCUUUCUCUAGCUCUGAACACUCAAGUACUGAUAUUUUUGAAAAAAUUCAUUGUGAUUUGUGGGGACCUGCCCCAACUUUAUCUAUUGGAAAAUUCAGAUACUAUGCUUGUUUUGUUGAUGACUUAUCUAAAUAUACUUGGAUAAUCCCACUCAAAUAUAAAUCUGAUUUUACGAAUACAUAUUUUGCCUUUGAACAAUAUGCCAAAAGACAAUUCAACAAACAGAUCAAAAUUUUCCAUUCUGAUGGAGGUGGUGAGUUCAUCAACUCAAAACUCUCCAGUCAUUUUCUUUCCACAGGAAUUAUUCAUCAGAUAUCAUGUCCAUAUACUCCAGAACAAACAGGUAUGGUUGAACGACGCCAUCGUGUCAUACGAGAGCUAGGUAUGACCAUGUUAUUUCAUAGUUGUGCACCAUUAUUUCUAUGGGCAGAAGCAUUCACUACUGCUGUCUAUCUCAUCAAUCGCUUGCCCUCAUCAUCCAUUAAUUUUGAAACUCCAUACUUUAAGCUACAUCAUACUCAUCCGGAUUACUCUUCACUGCGUACUUUUGGCUCAAAAUGCUUUCCUUACACUUGGGACACACGAAUUAACAAAUUUGAUCCCAAAACUGUUCCCUGCAUCUUUGUAGGAUAUAGCAGUACUCAUAAAGGAUAUAAAUGUUUCCAUCCAAAAAGCAAAAAAAUUUUCAUUUCACGGCAUGUGGUCUUUGAUGAAUUGCUCUUUCCAUAUAAACCUGUCAACGAUCUUGCUUUUACUCCUUCUCCACAACUUGCCCUUAGCAUUUAUGAUGCUUGGUUACCUUGUACUAAUAUUCUUGCAGAGUCCUCUAAGAUAGCAGCAACCUCAUCAUUGCCUACAGCCGACACUCCUUCAUCAACCUCGCUUGGUGAAGUAUCCUUGUCUCCUGCCCCACUCCCCCAAAUGUUUAAGGACUCAGAGUCACUUGCUUCGAUGAUGCUUCCUACUGAUAGUAUCACCCAUCACUGUGUGCGGGAAGAUGAUAGUUCUUCUCCUAGAACUGGCCCCACAUCAUCUGCUCCUUUAGCCCCUGCUGCUGUGUUUCAUGAGGAAAACCAACUUAUUAUGCCUGAAUCAGAUGAAUCAACGCCAACUCUGCAUAUGGUUCAACCAAAUGACGCUGAUAGUUUACUUUCUCCCCAAUCAGCUCUACCAGCUGAUCCACCUAGUUCGAAUCAGUCUCCCCAGGUAAUUUUCCCUCAUUCUAUGACUACACGGUCACACCAUGGGAUUGUUAAGCCAAAUCCUAAGUAUGCUUUAUCAACAACAUACUCCUCUUCUGUCCCACGAGAGCCAAGGAGUGUUCAGGCAGCACUAGCUCAUCCAGGUUGACGAGCAGCAAUGAAUGAAGAAUUAACUGCCCUGCAUCAAAACCAAACUUGGAUACUGGUUCCCCGCACCUCUGAUAUGCAUGUUAUUGGGUCCAAAUGGGUACUUAAGACAAAGCUUAAACCUGAUGGUUCCCUAGAUCGUUUAAAAGCCAGGGUUGUUGCCAAAGGAUUUCAUCAAAUUGAUGGCAUUGACUUCACCGAAACCUUCUCCCCUGUGGUAAAACCAAGCACCAUUCGCAUGGUUAUAACAGUUGCACUUGUUCAACAGUGGUCCAUUCGACAACUUGAUGUCAAAAAUGCAUUCCUAUAUGGCUUCCUCUCCGAAGAUAUAUUUAUGGAACAACCGCCUGGAAUGUCAGAUUCCCAGUAUCCAAUGCAUGUCUGCAAGCUCCAACGAGCUCUAUAUGGCCUUAAACAAGCACCCCGUGCCUGGUUUGAUCGGUUCAACACCUUUUUACUUAAAUAUGGUUUCUUUUGUAGUUUAGCAGAUCCUUCAUUAUUUAUCUCUCAUGCAGAUCAUGGCACAUUAAUUCUUCUUCUCUAUGUUGAUGACAUACUACUCACAGGUUCAAAUGCAACCCUUGUUACAGAAUUUAUACAACUCCUCAGUGGUGAAUUUGCAAUGAAAGACCUCGGCCAUGUUCAUCACUUUCUUGGGAUUGAAAUAUCUCACACAUCAGAUGGUCUACACCUCUCUCAAUCUCAUUAUGCCCUCACCAUCCUUGAACGUGCGAACAUGAUAGAUUGCAAACCCAUGAGUACACCACUUGAAGCAAAGACAAAGACCUCCUCCGCUGACACCCCUUUGGAUGACCCGAGUUAUUUUCGGGGUCUUGUUGGCUCUUUACAAUACCUUACUCUCACACGUCCUGACCUUUCGUAUAGUGUUAAUUUUGUGUCCCAAUUCAUGCAUGCCCCAAAUACUACACAUUUAAAAAUGGUCAAUCGUAUCCUACGUUUUGUGAAAGGAACUCUCCAUACCAGGUUAUUUUUCACUUCACAAACUACACUUGAUCUCUCUGCUUUUUCAGAUGCAGAUUGGGCAGGAUGUCCUAUCACAAGACGCUCUACUACUGGCUACUGCAUCUUUCUCAAAAAAUAUAAUCUCUUGGUUUGAAGAAACAACAUACAAUCUCCCGCUCCAGCACUGAAGCUGAGUAUCGGUCCAUGGCUAACACUGCAGCCGAAAUUACUUGGCUGACCUUUCUUCUCAAAGAUCUGAACAUCCCACUCAAAUCUACUCCAGUACUCUACUGUGACAAUCUCAGUGCACUUCACUUGACAAUUAAUCCAGUAUUCCAUGCCCGCAGUAAACAUAUUGAGUUGGACUAUCAUUUUGUACGAGAACGAGUUGCACUUGGACAUCUUAUCACCCGACAUAUAAACUCCAGUAAUCAGAUUGCUGACAUAUUUACCAAACCAGUGUCAAAAGCUGCCCUCAUUUACUUCCAAACCAAACUUUGCCUCCAGCCCCGGCCAAGUUUGCGGGAGGGUGUUAGCACAACACAAUCUGACAACAAGCUUUGUGAGAGUUCAGUGGAGAGAUAAAGGUGUCUAUGCUAGUGGAGUAAUAAGGCAGAAUUCUCUCACAAAGCUCCCUACGAUGCUGCCCACAUUGUUCUACAAAACUUCCGAGUUUAAUGGAGAAAAGUCAGGAGAUAAAGAUGUCUUCAAGGGUAACAAAUUCAAGUCAGAAUGGUAGUCUAACAAGAUAAGGAGACUGCUGUGAUUCAUCCGAAAGUAAAAGGGACUCUGUGAUUCCAAGUCAGAAUUGACAAUGCAUGAAAGCCGCCUCAUGUCCUUGUUCAUGCUUAUCAAGAUAAACACUCAAGAUAAUCCUUAGUUGGCUAGCUCUUUGAAUCCUUGUAUAUGUCAUCUUCAGUAAACUUUAAAUAAUCUGUUAAUGACAGUGUAAUGUAUCAAUCAAGAUUGUAUGUUCACGUUUCAGUAAACAAACCAUUAGAACAAAUUGUUCUACUCACGUCUUCAGAUUUUCUUUAAGAACCAGAGUGGUGUUUCUCAAGGGUCUCUUUGCAUCAACCGUGGAGUCGAUUCCUCUCCUGUACUCUCUCUCUCUCUCUCUCUCUCACACACACACACACUUAUUUGAAGCGUAUAUGGUUUUCUAAGAAAAUAAUUUUUUUAUCUUCCUACAGAUUAAAGGGGGACAAAAAUUAACAAUUUGAAAAAAAAAAAUACUAGCAAUUAUGAUAUUUUGUUUAGAUGAAUUAUAUUAUAAUAUACAUGAAGAAGAUCCAAUGGAAAAAUCAUCAUUAAAUAUAGGAGCAUGAAUAUGCUAAUUUUUACACAUAGGAUGUGCUCUAUUAAUUUGCCUGAAUUAUUUCUUUUUCAUGUUGCUGGAAUUUGAGUUCAGAUAUGUGGGUCUUGUAAUUGACUUUGCUGGCAAUCUAUACAUAAACUGCUAGGGAAACCAUUAAAAAGUAUAACAAACAUAAUAUUAAAAAAGAAAAAAAAACCCUCCCCUCCUUUUAGAAUUUGAUAUAAUUGGUUAAUUUAUUUUUUAUGGAAACCAGAUUGAUUUCAUAUUGUCGAGUUGGCUACACUUGUCCUUACCAAACGGAGGAGCAAUGAACAUCACUAACAUCCAAGGCUAUCUCAAAUCCUCAACAGAUGCACCACAUUUUUCAGUUCGAGCUGGUCCAAUGCAGCCCAACAUACUUCAUCUUCUUUCUUGAUUUAAUUCCAAGGAAAGACCUCGUCCUCCACCCAGAUUACCUCAAAACUUUUUAUGAAGAUUCUCGACUCGAAGCACUUAGGAAACAACUUGACACACAAGUCCUUGAAGCCAAACCCUACUUCUCAUCUUCCCUCUACUUUCGAAAUGUUGUUUCUCCCACGGGGAUUUUGGUUAGCAUAACAUG
rnacentral:lncRNA from 1 species